UGAAGUGAUGGUGUCUUAGUCUUAGCCCAUGAAUAUAUAAGCACAGAGAUACGGGACUUACUAGCAGCUGAGAGGGGACAAGGUGUGUGGGCUGGUGGCUGUAAAGGGAGGCAGCCAGAUUCAGAUCAGAUUUUGCUGGGCCAUGGCUUGCUGUGUAGAGGCAAAGGUAGCGGACUAGUGGGCUGAGCAAUCAGAUGCAUACUACAGUCCUAGAUGCUGAAGUGGGCAGGGGCAUUAUAUGCAACCAUCUAUGGUCCAGCUUUUAUGGAUGUGUUCCAUUCGCUACGGUGUCCUGUCUCAUGAAAUUGGGAGGUAAGCUAGUUAGUCUCAUUCAAAAGCAAUCAUUUCUGAAUGCUUUGAUGAUCCUGUCUUUGUAGUUUGUACCCUUGCAGCAACCCGGUGGUUUCAAUCAGGUGAGGUGAAGAGCCAGUGUCACAGG
rnacentral:lncRNA from 1 species